ACUCUGCGGAAAGGAGGGAAGAAAAAUUGUCAGAGCUGGGGGGUCUGGGGGAUAGCUGCAAAGUACUGUCCUCUGGAUAUGCCGUGGCCGCUGCACACAUGAACACAGCAGUUGUGGCUAUCUGCGCAAGACCAGAACAGUCAGGAUCCCAGGUGAACUCUCAGGACACUUGCCUUGACGUCUAGGCCCAGCUGAAGAGUUUGAGCACCAGCAUCCAAGACCACGAGGUAGCCAAGAGAGAGCAAGCCGGCGCGUAUGCAUCCCAGGUCUUAAGGGGUCCCUGUUUUGGCCACGCCCCGUGUGAAUCUAAUGACACAGGACGUUUGAGACUCGGACCUUUGCCACCUCUCAGAACAACUUCCA